rnacentral:lncRNA from 1 species
GGUAGUCAACCCCCGCAUUAAUUUUUAAGCUGUUGUUUUGAAUUCUAUUAAAAAAAAUUCAAAACAUGGAAAAUUAAAAAUAUAGUAUAGCAAUAAGUUUUAUAUUGCUAUGGCAUCUGUGUAUCGUACAUCGAAGUUAGAGUGAUUUUCAGCAAUAAGAAAUUUGACAACAAAUGCAAGCAUUAGAAGAAACUUUUUUUGGAAAGUGCUGUUUAUGAAAAAAGAUAUGAAUUUAUUAUAAACAGAGCAGCAAAUUUAUGGAUCACAUUGAGAACACAGCAAAAUUACGGAGUGCAUUGGAAGUUGUCAAGUCAACAAAUGUAAACAGUUUUGAGAAAAAAUUAGACAAAUUUUUA